rnacentral:rRNA from 1 species
AUUGAACGCUGGCGGCAUGCCUUACACAUGCAAGUCGAACGGUAACAGGUCUUCGGAUGCUGACGAGUGGCGAACGGGUGAGUAAUACAUCGGAACGUGCCCGAUCGUGGGGGAUAACGAGGCGAAAGCUUUGCUAAUACCGCAUACGAUCUACGGAUGAAAGCGGGGGGAUCUUCGGACCUCGCGCGGACGGAGCGGCCGAUGGCAGUUGAGGUAGUUGGUGGGAUAAAAGCUUACCAAGCCGACGAUCUGUGGCUGGUCUGAGAGGACGACCGGCAGAACUGGGGCUGAGACACGGCCCAGACUCCUACGGGAGGCAGCAGUGGGGAAUUUUGGACAAGGGGCGCAAGCCUGAUCCAGCCAUGCCGCGUGCAGGAUGAAGGCCUUCGGGUUGUAAACUGCUUUUGUACGGAACGAAAAGACUCUGGUUAAUACCUGGGGUCCAUGACGGUACCGUAAGAAUAAGCACCGGCUAACUACGUGCCAGCCGCCGCCGUAACAC